AAAUCAGGAACCACUGCUUUUCAGCUUAUCUCCCUCCGACCUCGAAACGUGCACUCUCUUAUGCAUUAAUAUUGUCAGUGUUUGUCUGGUUAAGAAUCCAAAACCUGCAUCUGCUCCUUUCCUAUUGAGAUUCUUACAUAUUCUCCUGUGUUUUCCUCAUUUUUUAUGUUGUUUACCUUUUUGAUCAAGAACCAAAAGUUUUGCGAGUGGAAAGAAGUUUUCUAAGGAACAAAAGAAGAAAAAAAAAAAUGAGGUCGAAGUGCAUGGUGAUGAUGCCGUUUACAUUACUGCAAUUCGUAUCGGUUGUGGUGUUUGUUUUGGGAGAGAGAAUGAUUACGAAAGGGGAAAAUACGCAGAAAUAUGAAGGCAGUUUCCUUAGCAAAGCUAUGAACUUCUUAUGGCAAUCGGGGGAAUCAGGUUAUCAACACGUUUGGCCAGAGAUAGAAUUUGGAUGGCGAAUUAUUUUAGGAACUAUAAUAGGAUUUUUUGGAGCAGCAUUUGGAAGUGUAGGAGGUGUUGGUGGUGGCGGCAUAUUCGUUCCUAUGCUUAGCCUUGUUAUUGGCUUUGAUGCAAAAUCCUCCACAGCUAUGUCCAAGUGUAAGAUCUCCACCACCGUUUUAUUUUUGCCACUAUAUUAUAUACUAACAGCUUUAUGAUUUAUUUUUUAUCACCGUUU